AUUGAACGCUGGCGGCAGGCUUAACACAUGCAAGUCGAACGAGUGGCGGACGGGUGAGUAAUGCCUGGGAAACUACCUGAUGGAGGGGGAUAACUCCUGGAAACGGUAGCUAAUUCCGUGUACCAUCGGAUGUGCCCAGAUGGGAUUAGUUAGUAUGUGGGGUAAAGGCUCACCAAGGCGACGAUCCCUAGCUGGUCUGAGAGGAUGACCAGCCACACUGAGACUGAGAAAAAGACCAGAGGACAACGCGGGGCAGCAGUGGGAAAGUUGGCACAAUGGGGGAAAGACUAAUGCAGGUAUGCCACGUGUAUGAAGAAGGACUUCGGGUUGUAAAGUACUUUAAGCGGGGAAGCGUUACCCGCAGAAGAAGCACCGGCUAACACCGUGCCAGGAGCCGCGGUAAUAC
rnacentral:rRNA from 1 species